UACGUAGGGUGCGAGCGUUAAUCGGAAUUACUGGGCGUAAAGCGUGCGCAGGCGGUUCGCCAAGUCAGGUGUGAAAUCCCCGGGCUUAACCUGGGAAUUGCGCUUGAAACUAGCGGGCUUGAGUGUGGGCAGAGGGGGGUGGAAUUCCACGUGUAGCAGUGAAAUGCGUAGAGAUGUGGAGGAACACCGAUGGCGAAGGCAGCUCGCUGGGACGGUACUGACGCUGAGACGCGAAAGCGUGGGGAGCAAACAGG
rnacentral:rRNA from 1 species